rnacentral:rRNA from 1 species
ACCCUUGGGGCGUGCUAUACAUGCAAGUCGAGCGAAUCUGAGGGAGCUUGCUCCCAAAGAUUAGCGGCGGACGGGUGAGUAACACGUGGGCAACCUGCCUGUAAGACUGGGAUAACUUCGGGAAACCGGAGCUAAUACCGGAUAAUCCUUUUCUACUCAUGUAGAAAAGCUGAAAGAUGGCUUCGGCUAUCACUUACAGAUGGGCCCGCGGCGCAUUAGCUAGUUGGUGAGGUAACGGCUCACCAAGGCGACGAUGCGUAGCCGACCUGAGAGGGUGAUCGGCCACACUGGGACUGAGACACGGCCCAGACUCCUACGGGAGGCAGCAGUAGGGAAUCUUCCGCAAUGGACGAAAGUCUGACGGAGCAACGCCGCGUGAGUGAUGAAGGUUUUCGGAUCGUAAAACUCUGUUGUUAGGGAAGAACAAGUACCGUUCGAAUAGGGCGGUACCUUGACGGUACCUAACCAGAAAGCCACGGCUAACUACGUGCCAGCAGCCGCGGUAAUACGUAGGUGGCAAGCGUUGUCCGGAAUUAUUGGGCGUAAAGCGCGCGCAGGUGGUUUCUUAAGUCUGAUGUGAAAGCCCCCGGCUCAACCGGGGAGGGUCAUUGGAAACUGGGAGACUUGAGUGCAGAAGAGGAAAGUGGAAUUCCAAGUGUAGCGGUGAAAUGCGUAGAGAUUUGGAGGAACACCAGUGGCGAAGGCGACUUUCUGGUCUGUAACUGACACUGAGGCGCGAAAGCGUGGGGAGCGAACAGGAUUAGAUACCCUGGUAGUCCACGCCGUAAACGAUGAGUGCUAAGUGUUAGAGGGUUUCCGCCCUUUAGUGCUGCAGCAAACGCAUUAAGCACUCCGCCUGGGGAGUACGGCCGCAAGGCUGAAACUCAAAGGAAUUGACGGGGGCCCGCACAAGCGGUGGAGCAUGUGGUUUAAUUCGAAGCAACGCGAAGAACCUUACCAGGUCUUGACAUCCUCUGACAAUCCUAGAGAUAGGACGUUCCCCUUCGGGGGACAGAGUGACAGGUGGUGCAUGGUUGUCGUCAGCUCGUGUCGUGAGAUGUUGGGUUAAGUCCCGCAACGAGCGCAACCCUUGAUCUUAGUUGCCAGCAUUCAGUUGGGCACUCUAAGGUGACUGCCGGUGACAAACCGGAGGAAGGUGGGGAUGACGUCAAAUCAUCAUGCCCCUUAUGACCUGGGCUACACACGUGCUACAAUGGAUGGUACAAAGGGCUGCAAGACCGCGAGGUUUAGCCAAUCCCAUAAAACCAUUCUCAGUUCGGAUUGCAGGCUGCAACUCGCCUGCAUGAAGCCGGAAUCGCUAGUAAUCGCGGAUCAGCAUGCCGCGGUGAAUACGUUCCCGGGCCUUGUACACACCGCCCGUCACACCACGAGAGUUUGUAACACCCGAAGUCGGUGGGGUAACCGUAAGGAGCCAGCCGCCUAAGUGACAGAUU